AACGCACCUUGCGCUCCUUGGUAUUCCGAGGAGCAUGCCUGUUUGAGUGUCAUAUAAUUCUCAACCUUAUUAGCUUUUGCUGAUAAUGGCUUGGAUGGUGGGGGUUCUCUUUUGCUGGCUUCUUCAGAAGUCAGCUCCCCUUAAAUGCAUUAGCUGGUGCCCCGCGUGGACUGUCUAUUUGGUGUGAUAAUUAUCUACGCCAUGGAUGUUUGCAAUGGGUUGUGCACUGCUUCUAACUGUCUGUUCAUUCGGACAAAUACAUGACAAUUUGACCUCAAAUCAGGUAGGACUACCCGCUGAACUUAA
rnacentral:misc_RNA from 1 species